rnacentral:rRNA from 1 species
CAGUAGCCGCGGGAAUACAGAGGGUGCGAGCGUUAAUCGGAUUUACUGGGCGUAAAGCGUGCGCAGGCGGUUUGUUAAGUCAGAUGUGAAAUCCCCGAGCUUAACUUGGGAACUGCAUUUGAAACUGGCAAGCUAGAGUCUUGUAGAGGGGGGUAGAAUUCCAGGUGUAGCGGUGAAAUGCGUAGAGAUCUGGAGGAAUACCGAUGGCGAAGGCAGCCAUCUGGCCUAAUACUGACGCUGAGGUACGAAAGCAUGGGGAGCAAACAGGAUUAGAUACCCGGGUAGUCCCUGUCUCUUAUAC